rnacentral:rRNA from 1 species
CCGAUAGGUGGGGAGGCCUGGAAUGGCCCCUCACCCAAAAGGAACUAGUGGCAUGCUUGCUAGUUUCGCUUGAGGAUAGGGCCGCGUCCGAUCAGGUCGCUGGUGAGGUAACGGCUCACCAGGCCUAUAACCGGUACGGGCCGUGAGAGCGGUAGCCCGGAGAUGGGCACUGAGAUAAGGGCCCAGGCCCUACGGGGCGCAGCAGGCGCGAAAACUCCGCAAUGCGCGAAAGCGUGACGGGGUCAUCCCGAGUGCCGUCCGCUGAGGAUGGCUUUUGCCAGGUCUAACCAGCCGGGUGAAUAAGGGGAGGGCAAGUCUGGUGUCAGCCGCCGCGGUAAUACCAGCUCCCCGAGUGGUUGGGACGAUUAUUGGGUCUGAAGCGUCCGUAGCCGGCCGGAAAAGUUCCCCGUUAAAUCUGGCGAUCCAAUCGUUAGGCUGCGGGGAAUACUCUUCGGCUUGGGGGCGAGGGAGGUCGGCGGUAGUCCCGGGGUAGGGGCGAAAUCCUAUAAUCCCGGGAGGACCACCAGUGGCGAAGGCGGCCGACUAAAGCGCGCCCGACGGUGAGGGACGAAAGCUGGGGGAGCGAACGGGAUUAGAUACCCCGGUAGUCCCAGCUGUAAACGAUGCAGGCUAGGUGUUGGGACGGCUACGAGC